rfam:Myotis davidii contig19122, whole genome shotgun sequence.
GGUGAUUCUCAGGUGAUGCACCCCUGAAUUGGGCUCCCUCCUCUCUGGUUCUGGGGUGCAUCACUCGAGACCUGCA